GCUUCCUAGUCACAUUACGUAAACUGAGGUGACCAUAAAUGCUUUGGUGGACAGACUGUGUUCAAUGCACUGAAAUGCUGCCUGGUAAACUGGAUUAUGGGAUUUUAGCAAGCUGACAGUAAAUCAACAAUGGAGCAUUCUCCUCAAAUGUCUCUCUGUCAGAGGUGGCAGGAAGAAAACUUGAAAUUCAUACCAUUUUAGAAAUGAAAAGAUCUUUAGCCUCUAAAUUCCUUAGUUCAAGUUCUGGACUUUAUUACCAACUAAUUUUGUUUGUAUGAAAUUAUUAGCAUAUCUACAACAUACAGAAUAACCAGAAAGAGGUGAGAGUGGCCAAGUAACAGCAUCAGGACAAAACACUCUGUUAUCUCUGCAACCAUCUCCUAUCAGAUAGCAGAGACAAGGCUUAUUCAUGGUUUCAAGAAAGAGAUUAAUAUGCAGAACAAUCUCAAAAUCUUUCCAAAAGCCUAGGGGCUGACAUCUGCACAGUAUUUUCUAUUUUGGAGGCUUGCCAGCUGAAGUAAACAUUUAUCUAUUCAGGAGGAAGAAGAGUGAGAUGCCUGCCCAGACAUCUGUCAUUGUACCACUUCACUUCUUCUUACUAAGUUUUCUGGAAUUAAGCAUUGGGCAGCUGGACUAGUUACUUUGUACAGAAGACCAGAUAGACUUCAUAUUCUUCUAUCAUCUUUCUGAAAAACAAAGUGCUGACUGAAACAAGGACACAUCCUUUAGAGCUAUGCAUGCAGAAGAGCACACCAGGUCCUCUGGAGAGGCUGCUGUGUAGAACAGGACAAGGAUUCUGCCUCAGAACAUCUCUGUGUACUUUAAUCUUCAAGCUCCUGUGUAACUGGUCAAAGGGUUAGAAGACGCUGCUGUUCAAAAGCAUCCACAGUCAACAAAAAUCCACAUAAAGGUACAGGUUUUAAAGUUACUCCAGUGGAAACAAGGAGACUGUGCAGGCCUUGUCAUCCGCGAGUCUUUUCUGGACCACUUCCACAGCUAAAAUAAGCAGACUGAGAGGAGGGUGAAAAGCAUCUGCCUACAUGCACAACCAACAGUGCUUCACUAUCUUGAAGACCCUCCUUUCACAGACAGGACAUGAAUGUACAUUGCUUUCUGUUUGGGGAAAGGCUUCAUUACUGUUAAUUCAUUCCUUCACUCACUUCAGUCACUUUGCCUAACUCUUUCUGCCAGGUUAAUACUAU